CUUCCAGAGGUCAGUACUACUACACCUUCCAGAGGUCAGUACUACUACACCUUCCAGAGGUCAGUACUACUACACCUUCCAGAGGUCAGUACUACUACACCUUCCAGAGGUCAGUACUACUACACCUUCCAGAGGUCAGUACUACUACACCUUCCAGAGGUCAGUACUACUACACCUUCCAGAGGUCAGUACUACUACACCUUCCAGAGGUCAGUACUACUACACCUUCCAGAGGUGGAUGCAGGUGAUCCGUAGUGCUACCUGUUAAGCUAGUCGACCCCUCCUGACCUAGAGGAAGGAUCCUUACUGACCACGGAGCCAGUGAGGACUAAGAGGACACUGAUCAACCCUCUUCUAGAAGGCUCCUUCCUGUCCUUCAGGCCUCUUCUAGAAGGCUCCUUCCUGUCCUUCAGGCCUCUUCUUUCACCCUCUUCACCUCUGGAGUACCGGCUCACUUUACUCUAGGUUACUUUACUAACCGCCUGUCUGCGUUGCCACGACCGUUUUAGGUGGUUAGUAAAGUAUAUACUAAAUAUAUAUAUAGUAUUUAGUAUAUACUAAUAUACUAAACAAUAUUUCCAUAUUUUUGAGAACGUGGGAAUAGUCCGAGGGCACCUAAAGAACACUCAGGUCGAGUUUGGUUCAUUUGGUGACCUCCUGAAAGACAGGAGACCCACAUGACUGUAUCUCUGUGUACACUUCCCAGAUGUACAACUAGAUGUUGGAUAAAAUGAGUAAAUAUGAAACUAUUUGUGAAAAGAUGUAAUGUGAUGUUAGCCUUCUAAAUGAGAGUAUUGAUUUUCAUAUAAAAAGUUUAACGACAAGUUUAACAGACAUUACAUCAGGCGUCGUGAAAUCGCCUCUUCUUCCAUUGAGUAUAAAACCACUUCCUACAAAAUGUUACAUUAGGUCAGAACGCCGGGACGGAGUCCCCACGUUGAAAUGGCUACAACUCUAUAGGCCCUUAAAACAGGAAGUGGUAGCUACAUGUGAAAUGGUUAAGAACUACAACUCUAUAGGCCCUUAAAACAGGAAGCGGUAGCUACAUGUGAAAUGGUUAAGAACUACAACUCUAUAGGCCCUUACAUCAGACAACAGGAAGCGGUAGCUACAUGUGAAAUGGUUAAGAACUACAACUCUAUAGGCCCUUAAAACAGGAAGCGGUAGCUACAUGUGAAAUGGUUAAGAACUACAACUCUAUAGGCCCUUACAUCAGGAAACAGGAAGCGGUAGCUACAUGUGAAAUGGUUAAGAACUACAACUCUAUAGGCCCUUAAAACAGGAAGCGGUAGCUACAUGUGAAAUGGUUAAGAACUACAACUCUAUAGGCCCUUACAUCAGACAACAGGAAGCGGUAGCUACAUGUGAAAUGGUUAAGAACUACAACUCUAUAGGCCCUUACAUCAGACAACAGGAAGCGGUAGCUACAUGUGAAAUGGUUAAGAACUACAACUCUAUAGGCCCUUAAAACAGGAAGCGGUAGCUACAUGUGAAAUGGUUAAGAACUACAACUCUAUAGGCCCUUAAAACAGGAAGCGGUAGCUACAUGUGAAAUGGUUAAGAACUACAACUCUAUAGGCCCUUAAAACAGGAAGCGGUAGCUACAUGUGAAAUGGUUAAGAACUACAACUCUAUAGGCCCUUAAAACAGGAAGCGGUAGCUACAUGUGAAAUGGUUAAGAACUACAACUCUAUAGGCCCUUACAUCAGAAAACAGGAAGCGGUAGCUACAUGUGAAAUGGUUAAGAACUACAACUCUAUAGGCCCUUAAAACAGGAAGCGGUAGCUACAUGUGAAAUGGUUAAGAACUACAACUCUAUAGGCCCUUACAUCAGAAAACAGGAAGUGGUAGCUACAUGUGAAAUGGUUAAGAACUACAACUCUAUAGGCCCUUAAAACAGGAAGUGGUAGCUACAUGUGAAAUGGUUAAGAACUACAACUCUAUAGGCCCUUACAUCAGGAAACAGGAAGUGGUAGCUACAUGUGAAAUGGUUAAGAACUACAACUCUAUAGGCCCUUACAUCAGAAAACAGGAAGUGGUAGCUACAUGUGAAAUGGUUAAGAACUACAACUCUAUAGGCCCUUACAUCAGAAAACAGGAAGCGGUAGCUCCAUGUGAAAUGGUUAAGAACUACAACUCUAUAGGCCCUUAAAACAGGAAGCGGUAGCUACAUGUGAAAUGGUUAAGAACUACAACUCUAUAGGCCCUUACAUCAGACAACAGGAAGCGGUAGCUACAUGUGAAAUGAUUACGAACUACAACUCUAUAGGCCCUUAAAACAGGAAGCGGUAGCUACAUGUGAAAUGGUUAAGAACUUCAGCUCUAUAGGCCGAGGAGACCAUACAGCGUUGGCCACACGGCUAGAAAUGAUUCAACUCUAUAGGCCGAGGAGACCAUACAGCGUUGGCCACACGGCUAGAAAUGAUUCAACUCUAUAGGCCGAGGAGACCAUACAGCGUUGGCCACACGGCUAGAAAUGAUUCAACUCUAAAAACAUUUCCACCGAAGGAACAAAUGUUAGACGAGGUCUUUUCAGUCUGCAGCUGGAAAUGUACGUAGCCUUGGACGAAGAAUACAGACAACCUCCGAAAACACCUAUUCUAUGAGACAACACGGCGUACGCCUGACGUAUCCAUUAGGAACGCAACCCGAGACUUUUCUGUUGACUCUCUCCAUCAGACGGACCGGAAGACAAGACACUCGGAAAUAUGUAAAUUACAAUUUAUUUUCAAAGUACUAGCAAUUUCUAUGAGUCUCCCGCUCUUGAGCUGUCCCCACCCCCUUUCCUUUGUCUACCAAGCCGUCAUAUCGGUUUCGUCCACUAGGGACUUGUUUAGUACCCAAUGUAUAACUAAUUGUGUGUGUGUUGAUGUAAUUCUGUGAUUGAUUAAGUUAGUUAGUAAAUAAAUAAUUAAGACAA